rnacentral:rRNA from 1 species
AUUGAACGCUGGCGGAAUGCUUUACACAUGCAAGUCGAACGGCAGCACGGACUUCGGUCUGGUGGCGAGUGGCGAACGGGUGAGUAAUGUAUCGGAACGUGCCCAGUCGUGGGGGAUAACGUAGUGAAAAUUACGCUAAUACCGCAUACGAUCGAUGGAUGAAAGCGGGGGAUCGCAAGACCUCGCGCGAUUGGAGCGGCCUAUAUCAGAUUAGGUAGUUGGUGGGGUAAAGGCCUACCAAGACAACGACCUGUAGCUGGUCUGAGAGGACGACCAGCCACACUGGAACUGAGACACGGUCCAGACUCCUACGGGAGGCAGCAGUGGGGAAUUUUGGACAAUGGGCGAAAGCCUGAUCCAGCCAUUCCGCGUGCAGGAUGAAGGCCCUCGGGUUGUAAACUGCUUUUGUACAGAACGAAAAGGUUUCUACUAAUACUAGGAGCUCAUGACGGUACUGUAAGAAUAAGCACCGGCUAACUACGUGCCAGCAGCCGCCGUAA